AGCGAACGCUGGCGGCAGGCUUAACACAUGCAAGUCGGGCGGAGUGAUGGUGCUUGCACUAUCACUUAGCGGCGGACGGGUGAGUAAUGCUUAGGAAUCUGCCUAUUAGCGGGGGACAACAUCUCGAAAGGGAUGCUAAUACCGCAUACGUCCUACGGGAGAAAGCAGGGGAGCACUUGUGACCUGGCGCUAAUAGAUGAGCCUAAGUCGGAUUAGCUAGUUGGUGGGGUAAAGGCCUACCAAGGCGACGAUCUGUAGCGGGUCUGAGAGGAUGAUCCGCCACACUGGGACUGAGACACGGCCCAGACUCCUACGGGAGGCAGCAGUGGGGAAUAUUGGACAAUGGGGGGAACCCUGAUCCAGCCAUGCCGCGUGUGUGAAGAAGGCCUUAUGGUUGUAAAGCACUUUAAGCGAGGAGGAGGCUCUUUUGGUUAAUACCCAAGAUGAGUGGACGUUACUCGCAGAAUAAGCACCGGCUAACUCUGUGCCAGCAGCAGCCGCAGUAA
rnacentral:rRNA from 1 species